rnacentral:rRNA from 1 species
GUUGGAAACGACUGCUAAUACCCGAUGUGCCUUAUGGUGAAAGAUUUAUCACCUCAAGAAGGGCUCGCGUCCGAUUAGCUAGUUGGAGUGGUAAGAGCACACCAAGGCGACGAUCGGUAGCUGGUCUGAGAGGAUGACCAGCCACACUGGGACUGAGACACGGCCCAGACUCCUACGGGAGGCAGCAGUGGGGAAUUUUCCGCAAUGGGCGAAAGCCUGACGGAGCAAGACCGCGUGAGGGAGGAAGGCUCUUGGGUUGUAAACCUCUUUUCUUUGGGAAGAAGCUCUGACGGUACCAAAGGAAUCAGCAUCGGCUAACUCCGUGCCAGCAGCCGCGGUAAUACGGAGGAUGCAAGCGUUAUCCGGAAUCAUUGGGCGUAAAGCGUCCGCAGGUGGCAAUUC